GCCUACGGGACGCAGCAGUGAGGAAUAUUGGUCAAUGGGCGAGAGCCUGAACCAGCCAAGUCGCGUGAGGGAAGACGGUCCUAUGGAUUGUAAACCUCUUUUGCCGGGGAGCAAAAAGCGGUACGUGUACCGCAUCGAGAGUACCCGGAGAAAAAGCAUCGGCUAACUCCGUGCCAGCAGCCGCGGUAAUACGGAGGAUGCGAGCGUUAUCCGGAUUCAUUGGGUUUAAAGGGUGCGCAGGCGGGCCUUUAAGCCGGCGGUGAAAUCGCGGGGGCCAACCCCCCC
rnacentral:rRNA from 1 species